UACGGAGGGUGCGAGCGUUGUCCGGAUUUAUUGGGCGUAAAGAGCUCGUAGGCGGCUUGUUGCGUCGUCCGUGAAAACCCGCAGCUCAACUGCGGGCUUGCGGACGAUACGGGCAGGCUGGAGUUCGGUAGGGAGACUGGAAUUCCUGGUGUAGCGGUGAAAUGCGCAGAUAUCAGGAGGAACACCGGUGGCGAAGGCGGGUCUCUGGGCCGAUACUGACGCUGAGGAGCGAAAGCGUGGGGAGCGAACAGG
rnacentral:rRNA from 1 species